CCCCUUUCCCUUUGCCUUUCUCUUAUGGAAUAAGGAGAGUAAUUUGGGAAGGUAAGAAACCUGCACCUCUCCUCUUUCUCUUGUGGAGCAGGAGGAGCAGUUUGCAAUGGAAGUAGAGCCCCAGGACCUGGUGCCUCUGAAGUGAAGGGUGAAAUUCCAGCAAGUUUUGUUCUGGACCAGUAGGAUCUGGCUGACACAUGCAGCUUGCCAGGAUCUUUGCUCAGCACACACCCAGCUAGCUGAGGAAAGUGAGGAUGCUGAGUCUGAGGAAUCUGAAAAUGCAGAAGACAGUCUGGAAACUGAAGUUCCUUUGCAGCUGCAGACAUUGAGUUAAAAAGUUUUGCUAGGAAGGAAAACCUGCCAACAGCAAGUGGAGAAUGAGAUGUUACACCUGGAUCAAGAAAAAAUGUUACAAGGGAUGAGUCAGCUGGAAAUAAAGGCCUGGCUUGGAGAGGCUUGGCUUAAAAAAUGAACAAACAGAAAACAACCCCAAACCCCAGGCUUAAAAAACCCCAAAGAAAACAGUAGAUUAUAAACAAUAGCAUGAAGAAACAAGCCUGGUAUAGGAUGAUGCUGGAAAAAGAAAUUAGACUUCCAUCCACGCAAAAUUUCUGUUUGUAAUUAAGAGGUAACAGAGGAUUAUUCAUGAGUAGCUUUUGCUGUAACCUUUCCCUGCUUCCUGACCUACUCUGCUGGUCAAUGGAUAGUCAGCCAGCCCAACAAGAAAUCCUGACAGCCUCAAUCAGCAAGCAGGAGGCUGAGUCUUGUUGGCAAACCUAUGUUUGGUGUCAAGCAAACAUUCUUUUCAGCUAUGCCAGGGGUUCAGACAUCUUCCUCAAGAAGACAUCAUCUGGGCAAUGAGUUUUAAUUGGCUAGCAUUUAUGAAGUAAGAAGUCUGUACUGGUGAUCGCAGAUGUUGCAAAUUGUUCCUACUUGUGACGGUGUCAUGGGAAAACAUCAAAGGCUUCCAUUAGUUUUGUGGUUGUUUGGAAUGAGAUAGGCAGUGAGCCCAAACCUACCUUGGCAAAAGCCUUCUGUGUUGUGCAGCUUAGCUGUCUUGCCAUCUGUCUUAAGCAGGACAUUUCUUAUCUCCUGUUCUUUUCCAUAGGGCUCAAGUGUUCCUGGUCAUUUGAGUUUUGAAAAAGGCUCUGUAUGAUUAUUAGCUGUAACACUAUUCCUGGGCUUUAGGCAGGAGGGAGAUUGUUAGGCUAGUUUCACUGUAGUAUUGACCUACUCACAAUCUCCUUAUCUAGUGUCACGCUGUUUUCUUGUCCAGGCACCUCACUGGCUCCUGCUUUGUUUCAUAAGCCUACCUGGAGCAGGCAAUUAACUGGUGCCCCAUCCAGCCUCUCUUCUGCAACACCCUUUUGUGAUUAAGAACCCUCUGGUGAAAGAUGAAGCUGUAUUUGUGUAAUUAUGCAGGAAUUCUCUGUUAACCUCCCUCAAUUAUUUUUGAAAGCGUGUUGCUAUGGGAAAAUGCUUCUGGAGUCAGUUAUUUUAAAGUUUUCUUCUUAGAUACUUAAACACAUCCUUCCCCUAUUCUCAGAUUUGAGGACCUUUAUCCAGCUGGUGAAUGUAGAUGUAAAGGAUGUUGUUCACUCUGCUGGGAGUGAAGCAUCAUAUGCACAGCUCCAAAACCUCCAAGCAAACUAGUGCACUGCUUAAUGAGCAUUGACCUCUAUUAAAAAGUGAAGAAAAUUACAAAUAGUAAUUUUUAAAAUUUAAGACAAGGUUUGUUUUUCUCACUAUCUUAGAAGUGGACAAAUUAGGAAUGGUACAAAGCUAAUAAUUACUUCUUUAAAAGCAGAAAAAGAGGAACAGAGUCCAAGCUGGACAAAGUUCAGAGGCUGUUGUUUUCUGUAAGUGAAUCUACCUAAAAAUCCAGUGAGCUCUAAAUCAAACUUUUCAUUGCAUGAGGUGCAGCUCCUGAGUUGUGACUGAUACUAAGCAUCUGUAUUCCUUCCGUUUUAAGGGCUGGCUGCUACUGUCACGGAAAACAUUAAUGUCAGCUUCACCUUUCUGCAAAACAGUCAGCAUUUAGUUUGGCUGAAGUAAAAAUACUUUGGAAUGGACCUCAGUGACCUUCUGCAAAUUGAUAGCUGGCCUGAAACAGGCAAAGAUGAGUCACCAGUUGCAUGGGGUUGAAAUCCAACCCAUACACCUGUAGCACAUCUUGCAUAGCCAGUGUAAUUGAUGUUGUGAUGUUCUCAGGCUUCAAAGAACUUUGAGAACCUCUGAUCGGAUUUUCAUUGGAUCUCUGGGAGGAGAUGAAUUUAGGCUUGUACUCUGUAAUGCCUGGGUAUUUGGGGAUCUGUUGCUCUGUAUGCAUUUUCCUGGGAAUUUUGCAGGUCCUCAGAAGGAAGCAAAUUCUAGGAUUCCCACUGUUUUGGUGGAUGUGCUCCAUCAGAUUGUUGAUGGAAAUGAAUGAAUUCACUCUCUUUUAUUUAUGUGUCUAUUCCUUCCAGGGUAUAUGACAUGGUUUUGAUGAAGUCUGUAGUACUUGCCACCCUACUUUUUUAACUCUAAUCAAAUAUCCUGGGGAAAUUUAAGCUCUUCCAGGAUGGGACUCUAAGGUCUCCAUUACUGAAUUGACUGUAGGUAUUUACUGAACUUCUGAACCUCCUACACUAGGUAGUAUGUCACAACAUUUUCAGAAGAGGAACCUCAUUGUUGCUGGCAGGAUGUUGUAUUGUGUAGAAAGGAAUAAAUCGUGUAGCGUUUUA